AGGUGCUAAAUACUGAGGUGGUUAGGGAUUAAAAGCAAAGUUUAAAUUUAACAUUGCCAGUGUUCUAAUGACUCCUAAAGCUACAUUCUUCUGCUUAUCUAUACUCACAAUUUCAGAUCU